GAUGAAGAACGUAGCGAAAUGCGAUACGUAGUGUGAAUUGCAGAAUUCAGUGAAUCAUCGAAUCUUUGAACGCACAUUGCGCCCCUUGGUAUUCCGGGGGGCAUGCCUGUUCGAGCGUCAUUAUCACCCCUCAAGCUCAGCUUGGUGUUGGGGCCUGCCCGUCACAGGGCAGCCCUUAAAAGCAGUGGCGGUGCCAUCUGGCUCUACGCGUAGUAAUACUUCUCGCGACAGAGUCCCGGUGGUGUCCUGCCAGAACCCCCCAUAUUUUUAAUGAUUGACCUCGGAUCAGGUAGGGAUACCCGCUGAACUUAAGCAUAUCAAUAAGCGGAGGA
rnacentral:misc_RNA from 1 species